rnacentral:rRNA from 1 species
GGACGGGUGAGUAACGCGUAGGAAUCUGUCUUUGAGUGGGGGGCAACCCAGGGAAACUUGGGCUAAUACCGCAUAAGCCCUGAGGGGGAAAGCGGGGGAUCUUCGGACCUCGCGCUGGAAGAGGAGCCUACGUCUGAUUAGCUAGUUGGUAGGGUAAAGGCCUACCAAGGCGACGAUCGGUAGCUGGUCUGAGAGGACGACCAGCCACACUGGGACUGAGACACGGCCCAGACUCCUACGGGAGGCAGCAGUGGGGAAUUUUUCGCAAUGGGGGCAACCCUGACGAAGCAAUGCCGCGUGAAUGAAGAAGGCCUUCGGGUUGUAAAGUUCUUUCGUGGAGGACGAAAAGGUGGGUGCUAAUAUCGCCUGCUGUUGACGUGAAUCCCAAGAAGAAGCACCGGCUAACUCCGUGCCAGCAGCCGCCGGUAAUACGGGGGGGGUGCAAGCGUUAAUCGGAAACCCCUGGGGCGUAAAGGGGUGCGUAAGCGGGUGCAUUAGGGCUUGUCCUGAAAUCCCCCGGGGCUCAACCUGGGGAAUG